rnacentral:rRNA from 1 species
UACGAAGGGGGCUAGCGUUGCUCGGAAUCACUGGGCGUAAAGCGCACGUAGGCGGCUUGUUAAGUCAGGGGUGAAAUCCUGGAGCUCAACUCCAGAACUGCCUUUGAUACUGGCGAGCUUGAGUUCGGGAGAGGUGAGUGGAACUGCGAGUGUAGAGGUGAAAUUCGUAGAUAUUCGCAAGAACACCAGUGGCGAAGGCGGCUCACUGGCCCGAUACUGACGCUGAGGCACGAAGGUCAGGGGAGCAAACGGG